rnacentral:rRNA from 1 species
GACGGGGCCCGCACAAGCGGUGGAGCAUGUGGUUUAAUUCGAAGCAACGCGAAGAACCUUACCAGGUCUUGACAUCCCGAUGCUAUUUCUAGAGAUAGAAAGUUACUUCGGUACAUCGGUGACAGGUGGUGCAUGGUUGUCGUCAGCUCGUGUCGUGAGAUGUUGGGUUAAGUCUCGCAACGAGCGCAACCCCUAUUGUUAGUUGCCAUCAUUCAGUUGGGCACUCUAGCGAGACUGCCGGUAAUAAACCGGAGGAAGGUGGGAUGACGUCAAAUCAUCAUGCCCCUUAUGACCUGGGCUACACACGUGCUACAAUGGUUGGUACAACGAGUUGCGAGUCGGUGACGGCGAGCUAAUCUCUUAAAGCCAAUCUCAGUUCGGAUUGUAGGCUGCAACUCGCCUACAUGAAGUCGGAAUCGCUAGUAAUCGCGGAUCAGCACGCCGCGGUGAAUACGUUCCCGGGCCUU